rnacentral:rRNA from 1 species
AAAACUUUCAACAACGGAUCUCUUGGUUCUGGCAUCGAUGAAGAACGCAGCGAAAUGCGAUAAGUAAUGUGAAUUGCAGAAUUCAGUGAAUCAUCGAAUCUUUGAACGCACAUUGCGCCCCUUGGUAUUYCGAGGGGCAUGCCUGUUCGAGCGUCAUUG